CCUUGCUCAUCUCUCUCUCUUCAACUCUACAGACCUGAAAUAACCUUAUUUCCCCUUUCUCAUAUCUUUCUCUCUUCAACUCUGCAAACCCGAAUAAUUUUUUUUCCAUCACCUUCAUCAGUGUUACGAAGUUUUUCUGCUCAAAAUAAAAGAAACCCUAGAAUUAAAAUUCCUUUUAUUUCUCAAUAACAAUUCAAAGUAGAUAUAAACACACAGAUCUGAAGAACAAUAGUUUGAAUCGAAGAGGAAACAAUAGAUUAGAAUCCUUCUUCAAUUUUUGUUUUUCGAUUCAUUUUCUCUUGUAACUAGUGUUCUCAUGUGUUUAAAGAAGAAAAUAUGUCUACCUGAUUUCGAUGGCCUUGCUGAUGUAAGUUCCUAGUUGUAGAAAUUUAAUUUGAUUUCUCAAUAUUUUUCUGAGAUUUACUUUUCCCGAGAGUUCAGUAUAAAUAACCAGCGAAACAGGCCAGUUUGAUUCACAAAUUCGAUUCCAUCUCUCAACGAUUCACAAAAAUUUUCCAUCUCAAAACCCUAGUAUUCAUAAUCAUUUUAGGUUAUCAACGGAAGGAACUGCAACUGCAAACGUUGUUGGUAAGGGAGGAAGAACAUGCGGUUACAGAAAGAAAGUCGUAAAAAAAAUCAGCCAAAGCUGGAUUGCAAUUCCCAGUCGGAAGAAUCACACUUUUCUUGAAGAAAGGUCGUUACUCCCAACGUCUUGGUUCCGGUGCUCCCGUUUACAUGGCUGCUGUGCUUGAGUAUCUAGCUGCUGAGGUCUAUCUGUCAUAAAAUCUACCAGGGAAAAGGUGCAAUGCUCCCAUCCCUGCAGUGCAUUCAAUGGUGAUGGUUGAGUUUGUUAAGCUUGGCAAAGAUCUUAUGGGAAUCGGUUUUGUUUCUGGAAUGUAGAAUACUGAAGUGAGUUUGUUUAUUAGUGUCAACAGAUAUUCAAAAUGAUUAUUAUGCCUUGCUGGUUAAUUAUUAUAUUAACAGAUGUUCAAAAUGAUUUUGAGAUGCCUGAGGUAUAUCAGAGAUACAUAGAAGUGAAGUUAAUAUAUAUUUGGUUUCCAGCUGA